GACGUGGGAGAGGGGGACACCUGGAGCGAUGGGGCAGGAAUUCUCAGGGUCACAGAGGGUGUAUACCUCCUGGAGGUGAUGGGGGAGGGAGAAUUGGAAUUCGACUCAGAGAAAUAAAGAUCCUAUUUAGUCAAAUGUAGGAGCAAAAGAGAACCAGUGGUUCCAUGUAUAGUACACACAAACGUGUACCUAACAUACGGUGAAGUCUGAUACAGAUUAUCAUUUAUUUAUAAAGUAACCUACUGUUCUGUGUCAUUCUAACCAUGAAAGAAAUGGAAUAUAAAAUUAGGAGGAGUCUGGCCGCAUGUUAUCAGGACAGGUUUAUACAGCGCUGGGUUUAUAUCUAAUUAAGGGGAUCUGAUUGCACGUUAUUAGGACAGGAUCAGACAUUGCUGGGUUUAUACCUAAUGUAGGAGAUCUGAUUGUAUGUUAUUAGGACAGGCUCAGGCAGUGCUGGGUUUAUAUCUAAUGUAGGGGAUCUGACCACACGUUAUCAGGACAGGCUCAGACAGUGCUGGGUUUAUACCUAAUGUAGGGGAUCUGAUUGUAUGUUAUCAGGACAGGCUCAGACAUUGCUGGGUUUAUACCUAAUGUAGGGGAUCUGACUGUAUGUUAUCAGGACAGGCUCAGACAUUGCUGGGUUUAUACCUAAUGUAGGGGAUCUGACUGUAUGUUAUCAGGACAGGCUCAGACAGUGCUGGGUUUAUAUCUAAUGUAGGGGAUCUGACUGUAUGUUAUCAGGACAGGCUCAGACAGUGCUGGGUUUAUAUCUAAUGUAGGGGAUCUGACUGUAUGUUAUCAGGACAGGCUCAGACAUUGCUGGGUUUAUGACUAAUAGGGAAUCUGACUGUAUGUUAUCAGGACAGGCUCAGACAGCGCUGGGUUUAUAUCUAAUGUAGGGGAUCUGACUGCACGUUAUCAGGACAGGCUCAGACAGCGCUGGGUUUAUAUCUAAUGUAUGGAAUCUGACUGUAUGUUAUCAGGACAGGCUCAGACAUUGCUGGGUUUAUACCUAAUGUAGGGGAUCUGACUGUAUGUUAUCAGGACAGGCUCAGACAUUGCUGGGUUUAUAUCUAUUGUAGGAGAUCUGAUUGCACAUUAUUAGGACAGGCUCAGACAACGCUGGCUUUAUAUCUAAUGUAGUGUAUUUGAUUGCACAUUAUUAGGACAGGCUCAGACAUUGCUGGGAUUAUAUCUAAUGUAGG